GAUGAACGCUGGCGGCGUGCCUAAUACAUGCCAGUCGAGCGAACGGACGAGAAGCUUGCUUCUCUGAUGUUAGCGGCGGACGGGUGAGUAACACGUGGAUAACCUACCUAUAAGACUGGGAUAACUUCGGGAAACCGGAGCUAAUACCGGAUGAUAUUUUGAACCGCAUGGUUCAAAAGUGAAAGACGGUCUUGCUGUCACUUAUAGAUGGAUCCGCGCUGCAUUAGCUAGUUGGUAAGGUAACGGCUUACCAAGGCAACGAUGCAUAGCCGACCUGAGAGGGUGAUCGGCCACACUGGAACUGAGACACGGUCCAGACUCCUACGGGAGGCAGCAGUAGGGAAUCUUCCGCAAUGGGCGAAAGCCUGACGGAGCAACGCCGCGUGAGUGAUGAAGGUCUUCGGAUCGUAAAACUCUGUUAUUAGGGAAGAACAUAUGUGUAAGUAACUGUGCACAUCUUGACGGUACCUAAUCAGAAAGCCACGGCUAACUAC
rnacentral:rRNA from 1 species